GAUCACCGAUUAACAUCAUCGCGGUAGCGCCGGCUAUCGCUGAAAACCAGCGCUGGGACUGUCUCCUUUCGUUUCGCAUUAUGCUGAGCGAGCGAAUUCUAAGCCUAACCCUGGCGGCUUGGUGGUGCUCCGUGGCAGGUGGACACACCUAUACAGAGCAUCAUGGUCAUCAGGGCAGGUGCAUGGCGACAGGAUUUACCUGAACAAAUAAAGAUUUUGCGCACGCAUCCAACAACAAUUCAAUCAAACAGGUACCUGUUUGAUGGAGCAGUAUACUGCUAAGCGCUUACACCCUGACCCAUUAGAGUUGUACUCUGAUAGGAAAACUGAUGGUGAAAGGAUGCCAAUUUUGAUAAAGGUACCCCCACGUUAUGGAAGAAAAUAAUGUAACAUUCAGGCGUCGUUUGCAAGUGCAGAGUCCACUUUCUUUGUGUAAAAACGAUCACCGCGUACCACGUGGUCGCCGGAGGGCGCGCCUAUUACCAGCAGACCAUACCCACAAGUUACGUAUCGCUGCUAUACGCGUAAAGCAAAAGUGCUCGUAGCCUGCAAUUUGCAAUGUUGUGACGGGUGUUUGUUACUUUCAGGCCGCCAGACAUAACGCAUCGCGAUGGACCGGGGACCCGAGAGAGACCAGGAAAUCAAACUGUGACAAUACAUUACAUGCGUUGCAACGUACAGGGUCGAUGAUGUUUAUGAUACAUCAUCAACCCUGUAUGUUUUAAUGCGUGUAAUAAAUGCAAGCAUCGCAACAAUCGACUUUCAAGAUGCGUGAUGAAAACCUUAACAUACCUUCUGAUAAUAGUCCAUAUAAGUAACGAAAAUAUUCAUUAUAUGAACUAUUAUCAGAAAUAUGUUAUAAAAUAUGAAAAACUUGACAUUUCACAAACGCAAAUCAUACGCAUUCCAUUUAAAACAUUAUAUAAUAUUAACUUGAUAUAAACGUACAACAACAAAAAAAAAAAACGCUGUACAGUUAUUCAAAUUCAUACUUUUUAGAUAGUGUUUUUUUUUUUUGCUUUAUUAUAGGAUAGUUUUUUUUGUGUUGUAAAUAUCUAUGUAUAUAACACUAUGUAAAUAAAUCUAAUUCA